UACGUAGGGUGCAAGCGUUUAAUCGGAAUUACUGGGCGUAAAGCGUGCGCAGGCGGCUUUGCAAGACAGAUGUGAAAUCCCCGGGCUUAACCUGGGAACUGCAUUUGUGACUGCAUGGCUGGAGUGUGGCAGAGGGGGAUGGAAUUCCGCGUGUAGCAGUGAAAUGCGUAGAUAUGCGGAGGAACACCGAUGGCGAAGGCAAUCCCCUGGGCCUGCACUGACGCUCAUGCACGAAAGCGUGGGGAGCAAACAGG
rnacentral:rRNA from 1 species